UACAAAGGUAGCAUAAUCAUUAGUUUUUUAAUUGAAAACUUGUAUGAAUGGUUGAAUGAAAAAUUAACUUUUUUAAAAAAAUAAUUGAAUUUUACUUUUUAAUUAAAAGGUUAAAAUAAAUUUAAAAGACGAGAAGACCCUAUAGAGUUUUAUAAUUUUUAUUUAAUAUUUAAAAAGAUUAAUUAAAAUUUUAUAAAAGAAAAUAUUUUGUUGGGGUGAUAAUAAAAUUUAAAUAACUUUUAUUUUUUUUUUACAUUAAUAUAUGAAUUUAUGAUCCAUUAUUGAUGAUUAUAAAUUUAAAUUACCUUAGGGAUAACAGCGUAAUUUUUUUUUAAAGUUCAUAUUAAUAAAAAAUUUUGCGACCUCGAUGUUGGAUUAAGAUUUAAUUUUAGGUGCAGCAGUUUAAAUUUUAAGUCUGUUCGACUUUUAAAUUCUU
rnacentral:rRNA from 1 species